UACGUAGGGCGCAAGCGUUUGUCCGGAAUUAUUGGGCGUAAAGAGCUCGUAGGCGGUGUGUCGCGUCGGAUGUGAAAGCCCGGGGCUUAACCCCGGGUCUGCAUUCGAUACGGGCAGACUGGAGUGUGGUAGGGGAGAUCGGAAUUCCUGGUGUAGCGGUGAAAUGCGCAGAUAUCAGGAGGAACACCGGUGGCGAAGGCGGAUCUCUGGGCCUUACCUGACGCUCAGGUGCGAAAGCUAGGGGAGCGAACAGG
rnacentral:rRNA from 1 species